rnacentral:rRNA from 1 species
UACAGAGGGUGCAAGCGUUAAUCGGAAUUACUGGGCGUAAAGGGCGCGUAGGCGGAUGAAUAAGUUAGGUGUGAAAUACCUGGGCUUAACCUGGGAGUGGCACUUAAUACUGUUGAUCUAGAGUAGAGUAGAGGGAAGUGGAAUUUCCGGUGUAGCGGUGAAAUGCGUAGAGAUCGGAAAGAACACCAGUGGCGAAGGCGGCUUCCUGGACUCAUACUGACGCUGAGGCGCGAAAGCGUGGGGAGCAAACAGG